rnacentral:ncRNA from 1 species
GAUGGAGGUCCGCAGCGAUCUGACGUGCAAAUCGAUCGUCUGAGCUGGGUAUAGGGGCGAAAGACUAAUCGAACCAUCUAGUAGCUGGUUCCAUCCGAAGUUUCCCUCAGGAUAGCUGGCGCCGAUGUGUCCCGCCCGUUCGCGGGCGUACGGACGCCGGUGGGACUCCGCGCUGUACGGCGCGGUAACAACACGCUCGUAACACGGAGGAUGUCUCAUACGGUAAAGCGAAUGAUUAGAGGACAUUGGGGCCGAAACGACCUCAACCUAUUCUCAAACUAUAAAUGAGUGAGAUCGCCGGCUUUACCUGGUACACCGCGUGAACCGCGUGCGAAGCCGGCGACGGAACCCUAGGCGCUUAGUGGGCCAUUUUUGGUAAGCAGAACUGGCGCUGCGGGAUGAACCGAACGCCGAGUUAAGGCGCCGAAAUCGACGCGUAUUCAGAGACCAUGAAAGGCGUUGGUUGCUGAUGACAGCAGGACGGUGGCCAUGGAAGUCGGAAUCCGCUAAGGAGUGUGUAACAACUCACCUGCCGAAGCAACUAGCUCUGAAAAUGGAUGGCGCUGGAGCGUCGUGCCUAUACUCGGCCGUCGACGGCAUAGUGGGGCCAGUCGUCGCUCGCGGCGGCCGGUCCCGGCAAGCCUCGACGAGUAGGAUGGCGCGGCGGUGUGCGUCGAAGGGCAGGUCGCGAGACCGCCUGGAGCCGCCGUCGGUGCAGAUCUUGGUGGUAGUAGCAAAUACUCGAGAGGGGCCCUCGGGGGCUGCCGUGGAGAAGGGUUUCUUGUGAACAGCCGUUUGUCCAAGAGUCAGUCGAUCCUAAGCCCGGGGAGAGAUCCUCGUACCACGGGCGAAGGCGUUUUCGAAUCGCCCUUGGGGCGAGAGGGAAUCCGGUUCGUAUUCCGGAACCCGACGCGGAACCGCUCCCUAGUGUUCGGGGCUCUUUUGUCUCGUCUGGGUAACCAGAAUGAACUCGAAGAAGCCGCCGGGGGAUCUGGGUAGAGUUCUCUUUUCUCUGUGAGCGUUGUACGUCCCUGGAAUCCUCUAGCCGGGCGAUAGGGACGCGAGCGCGAAGAGCACCGCUCGUUGCGGCGGUGUCCGUGAUCCCCACGCGGACCUUGAAAAUUCGAGAGAGGGCCACGCGGAGUCUUCGCGUCGGUUCGUACCGAUAUCCGCAGCAGGUCUCCGAGGUGAGCAGCCUCUAGCCGCAUAGAAUAAUGUAGGUAAGGGAAGUCGGCAAAACCGAUCCGUAACUUCGGGAUAAGGAUUGGCUCUGAGGAGCGUGGCUGCCGGGUUCGGGUCGUCGUAGAAGCGUAGGCGUUUUUGGCGACACCCCGGCCGUCGCCCGUGCGCCCGGUCUUCGGAACGGGAGCCUCGAGGCGGCCGCGGGCCCGUCGCCGUCCGCCGACCGUGGAACCACCGAGCUUCGGUCGCUGGCCGCGUCGCGGCCGGCCGACCGCCUUGGUGUCGGUUCGCCGUCACCGGGCGGUCCGGCCGCCGCGCCGUCGGUCGCGUAGCCGGAUCGACAGCCAUGUAACGGUCAACUCAGAACUGGCACGGACCAGGGGAAUCCGACUGUCUAAUUAAAACAAAGCAUCGCGAUGGCCCGGGACGGGUGUUGACGCGAUGUGAUUUCUGCCCA